UAUUGGGCAAUGGGCGCAAGCCUGACCCAGCAACGCCGCGUGAAGGGAGAAGGCUUUCGGUUUGUAAACUUCUUUUGUCAGGGACGACGCAAGUGACGGUACCUGACGAAUAAGCUACUGCUAACUACGUGCCAGCAGCCGCGGUAAUACGUAGGUGGCAAGCGUUAUCCGGAUUUACUGGGUGUAAAGGGCGGGUAGGCGGGGAAGCAAGUCAGAUGUGAAAACCACGGGCUCAACCUGUGGCCUGCAUUUGAAACUGUUUUUAUUGAGUGCUGGAGAGGCAAUCGGAAUUCCGUGUGUAGCGGUGAAAUGCGUAGAUAUACGGAGGAACACCAGUGGCGAAGGCGGAUUGCUGGACAGUAACUGACGCUGAGGCGCGAAAGCGUGGGGAGCAAA
rnacentral:rRNA from 1 species